UCUCUGCUUGCGUAGGCAGUCUCAUUAGAGUCCCCACCUUGCGUGUUGGCAACUAAUGAUAAGGGUUGCGCUCGUUGCGGGACUUAACCCAACACCUCACGGCACGAGCUGACGACAGCCAUGCAGCACCUAUAUAGGCGUCCUUACGGAAAACAUCAUCUCUGAUGUCGCCACCUACAUUUCGAGCCUGGGUAAGGUUCUUCGCGUUGCAUCGAAUUAAACCACAUGCUCCACUGCUUGUGCGGGCCCCCGUCAAUUCUUUUGAGUUUCACUCUUGCGAGCGUACUCCCCAGGCGGCAUACUUAUCGCGUUAGCUUCGACACAGACAGGGUUGAGCCCAUCUACAUCAAGUAUGCAUCGUUUACGGCAAGGACUAC
rnacentral:misc_RNA from 1 species